ensembl:lncRNA
UACGACUAUAGGCCUAUGUCACGGAACAAUUGAAGACCGGAAGAAGCUCGCGGAGUAGGGUAACUGCUCUUCCGCUUAGCUUAGCUAAACUGUUUACCAUGGCGGAGGCAGAUCAAUACCUUUGGACCAAGUCUCUCCAACCUACCUAAAUUGUCCUACGACGACGUCCUAAGGAUAGUAAAUCAGCACUUACGUGUCGAAACAUCUAAACUACGCAAAGGAUAUAAGUUAUUCUGGGAGAAGUACAUUUUUAAUUACAUAGACACAUGACAACCACUUCACAGGGGAGAAAAGCGUGCCAACACCUCUGUCGUGCACCAGUGUUCUGCAGACGUGGACCAAGGACACAGGUUUAUGUGUAUACCUCAGGCCUAGCCAAACAUCCUGUAUAGUCUACUCAAUAAUAGUAUUCGAAGUUCUUGUAUAUAGACAGACGCGACUAACACUGACUUAAGUGUUGCUACACUGACAUUAUGAUUUAUGUGCUGACAUAUUUUUUCUUUUUGCUCCAGGGGAUUCGCUCCAGGGGAAUCGCCCGGAACCCAUUGACCAACUUGUGGUCAGGAAACCCAAGGUUUGGGUUAGGUGUUUUAUUUGAGCACAUACAUGGACACAUAUCUCCUGAAUGCCAAGUAAAUGGCCGAGGGAUACACACACCCCAUUCCAUUUAUUUAUUUCUGUUAAAUGUAUAUAUGUAAAUAUUUUAAUCAAAGAAUUGGAAACGAACAUUCCUGAACAUUUUUUUUAAGGUAACUGAGCACCUUUAAAACAAGCCUGAAGACUUUUAUGUUUGCAUUAGCUUUCUGCUACAUCUUAAAUACAUUGCACUUUCUAAAAAGCUUUUUUAACUUUGCCUUUAUUUUCUAUUUUAAUACUAAAAUGCCUUUAACUUUCUAUUUUACUCAUUUCUCUGCAUAUGUUUUCUUUUACUUAUCUAUUUUAUUGUAUGACAAUGUUUAUAUGUGAAGCACUUUGAGUCUUCCCUUGUGUAUGAAAAGUGCUAAAUAAAGUUGCCUUGCCUAACACACACAGAACAUUUCAUUUCUUUCUGUUAAAUGUAAAUAUGUAUAUAUGUAAAUUUAAAAAAAAGAACUGGAAACAAACAUUAAAUAAACAUUUGAAAAGGACGGACGGACACAAACACACACACACCAUUUUAAUUUCUUUCUGCUAAAUGUAAACAAAGAACAUUAAUAAACGUUUAAAAAUAGUCAUGUGACGUCAUGUGUGUUUUAAUGUGUAACACUGGGACAUCACCCUUAACAUCUAAAGGACCUUGAUAGUUAGACAUCAAGCAAGAAUUUACCCACAGCUGAUUGACAGAGCCUGAAAGAGUCAGAGGAAUGGUUGUGUCCCAGAUAUGAUAUUCUUUGACCCUUCUGAUGGCCCUCUCCAAGAUUCUAAGUUGGGCGAUACUCACUGGUUAACCUGGCGCCUCUUUUAAAUGGCGGCAUUAUGAGGGUGGCCCC